rnacentral:lncRNA from 1 species
UACACCCAAACUACUCUGUUGAUGCUGCUAUCCUCAGUUGGAAAUGCGGUCCGCACCCUUCUGAGCAUCUCUCUUCAAGUCAUGCGCUGUGUCACGGGCACCAUCCGCUGCAUUCUCAGCCUUUUCCUGCAAAUCCUUCCCCGCGUCCUGAGCGUUGCUCUUCGCCUUCUCUGCAUUCUUCUGCAGCGAGUUCCCGGCAUCGUCUAUGGCAUUCUGAGCCUUGUCCUGCAAACAUCAUCGAAAUGCAUUCAAUCUCAGCGCGAGCCCACAACCAUAUAACAGCAGCAACACCAUCCGGGACAAUGAGAUGAGCACACUGCUCUAAAGUAUGUGAUCGGAGUGAGCUUCGGAGGCAGACGAAAACUUACACCAAGCUUCUCAGCUUCGCUUCUCGCGUCCUUGCUCGCAUUCCUAGCGCUGCCCUCCAAGUCCCUGCCUGCGUCGUCAGCCUUGUCGCCCAGCUUCUCCGCCUCGUUCUGGGCGUCGCGCCCUACAUCCUGCGCCUUGUCCUGAGCCUCUCCAGCCUUUCCGGACAAGUAGUUCCCGGCGUCCUCUAACUUGCCCUUGGCGGCACCGGCGGCAUCCUGCACCUUGUCCUUGGCGGCUCCCGCGGUCUCCUUCACUUUGUUGGCUGCAUCUCCCGCCGCAUUCUCCACCUUGUCGACCACGCCC